rnacentral:misc_RNA from 1 species
GAAAUGCGAUACGUAAUGUGAAUUGCAGACCGUGAAUCAUCUAAUCUUUGAACGCAUAUUGCGCUCUCUGGUAUCCCGGAGAGCAUGCCUGUUUGAGAAUCGAUAAACCAAAUCAACCUUCUGGGAACCACACAUGUGGGGAACGGAGAGUUGGACUUGGGCGCCUAUCGUAACUGAUAGCGUCUGUAAAGUAGCGUCGACCUUGAGUGUAUUGUUACUUGGAAUGUGUUUAAAUGCUCACGCAUACUUACUGACCACUUAGCUUAAGUGCACUUGGGGGCGACUCAGUCGAAAGACACUCAUGUUAAGUCAUGUAAACUUGGUCUCAAAUCAGGCAAGAGUACCCGCUGAACUUAA